AAACAAUAUUCAGUUAAUGGAAUUACACUUUUUUCCAUUACUGCUUGCUUGAUAUUGCCCUAACAACUUUUUCAUGAAUCAAUUUUGAGCAUUAUGUUUACAACGUAGUUAUUAUAGCACGAAUUAUGAGUCUAAAAUGCCAAAUACUUGCAACUAUUAUGUUAAUCACUGAAAUCUUAGUGUACUAAUUGCUCGCUAUAAGCUAGGUUAUUGCGCCCCUAAACCAACGUACUGACAACGCUACCUCCCCGGAACUCAAACUUUAACCGGGCAUGACUUGGUACAUCCAGUGACCCAGCAAAAAGUAGCCCUGGUACAGCCAGAAGUAGCAACAAAUCGCAAAAGGGGAUCCUUGUCUGACUGGUGGCUGGACCACAAUGACACUUGUUGGAAAAGGAAGGACCAAAGGUGCCAUCGUCGAGGGCCCAGAUAGAUGAAGAGAUUGAAGCCUGGGCUUCACACAAUCCUGUUAGUAACAAAAAAAGAAGGAAAAAAUGCUGUCCCAUUUGUCCAUAUGCCCAGCGCCAGAACCCAUUUAUACAUCUGGGUAGUGAGAAAAUCUAGGAAGAAGUCACCACCCACUGAUGAUCUCAUCCAAGUUUACCAAAGACUCCAAAGCAGUGUAGGAGAGGAAUGGUGGCCUGUUCGAACAGGCAUGGACUGAAUCGCCAGCUCUCAUCUCCCUAGUCACUCCGAUGGCCACGUGUCGCUCCUCGAUCAACAGCGAUUUCAAUGAAUGAUGCGUUGAUGUGGGCAAAAAGUGAAUCCUUUCUCGCCUUUGAACUCUGGUGUUCGUCGUAUCAAUCCAUUUUGAUUGCCGAGCAACUUGUGGGCACACCUCAACUUGUUAGUGGGAAGUAAUUUGCAAUAGAGUGACUUACUUUUAUUGCUGUAUUUUUUCACUUCACAUCAUUGUUAUUUUGAAAAAGCCUGCCAAAAUUCUGUUGACUGUUUGUUGUCGACAAGAGUCUAUGUUUCAUGAAUAACAAGGCUGUGUUCUGUA